rnacentral:rRNA from 1 species
CCUACGGGUGGCAGCAGUGAGGAAUAUUGGUCAAUGGCCGGAAGUCUGAACCAGCCAAGUCGCGUGAAGGAUGACGGUGCUACGCAUUGUAAACUUCUUUUGUCAAGGGACAAAAUCAGGCUCGUGAGCCCCAUCGAGUGUACUCCAUGAAAAAGCAUCGCCUAUCUCCGUGCCCGCAGCCGCGGUAAUACGGAGGCUGCGAGCGUUUUCCGGGUUUAGUGGGGUUAAAGGGUGGGCGGGCGGACUCUUAUGUCAGCGGUAAAAGCCCGGGGCGCAACCCCGGAGCGCCGGGGAAACUGGCGGGCUUGAGAGGGCGAAGGGUAGGCGGAAUGCGUGGUGUAGCGGUGAAAUGCUUAGAUAUUGCGCAGAACUCCGAUUGCGAAGGCAAGAUACCGGCGGGGAUCUGACGCUGAGGCACGAAAGCGUGGGUAUCGAACAGGAUUAGAUACCCGAGUAGUC